UCCGCGGCUUCAUUCUUGAAGUCAGUGAGACGAAGAACCCACCAAUUCCAGACACAUUUUGGCGACCUAGAUGGGACAAUCGCCUAUCACCGAGUGGUGAGACCAUCGCCUAUAGCUGAGCGGCGAGACAAUCACCUAUCGCCAAGCAAAUGAGCAAACAGUUGUCUUCACCAUCCCAGACAAGCAGAUGAAUGGUGAAACGAUACAGCAGAGAAAGAGAGAAGAGGAACAUUUGAACGCCGAGAGGAGUUCAGCCGAGGGUGGUCGGAGAGGUUUGGCCACCCAGCAGGAAGAUUAUCUUCCCGUGCCAUCCCCGCUUCCAGCUCUGCAUCCAUCCUUCAGAGAACCACCUCCACCACUCAAUAAAACCCUGCAUUCAACCUUCAA
rnacentral:lncRNA from 1 species